UACCCAUGAUGUGGACACUCUCUUUGAUAUUCUUUGAAUCGUGCCCAUGCUUCACUUAGUGGCUCAGAGGGAUUUUGCUGAAAGUUUGUGAUCUUACUCCUCAAACU
rfam:Brassica oleracea var. oleracea cultivar TO1000 chromosome C7, whole genome shotgun sequence